rnacentral:rRNA from 1 species
UGAGCCAAGUUUAGGGUUUUCUCAAAACCCAAGCAGUAUUGAACUGAAGAGUUUGAUCAUGGCUCAGAUUGAACGCUGGCGGCAGGCCUAACACAUGCAAGUCGAGCGGAUGAAGGGAGCUUGCU